rnacentral:misc_RNA from 1 species
UGUGGGAGCGGGCUUGCUCGCGAUGCAGACACCUCGGUCAUUCAGGUUCACCGAGUGGUUGCCAUCGCGAGCAAGCCCGCUCCCACA